rnacentral:rRNA from 1 species
UGGGGAAUAUUGCACAAUGGGCGCAAGCCUGAUGCAGCCAUGCCGCGUGUGUGAAGAAGGCCUUCGGGUUGUAAAGCACUUUCAGCGGGGAGGAAGGCGUUAAGGUUAAUAACCUUGGCGAUUGACGUUACCCGCAGAAGAAGCACCGGCUAACUCCGUGCCAGCAGCCGCGAUAAUACGGAGGGUGCAAGCGUUAAUCGGAAUUACUGGGCGUAAAGCGCACGCAGGCGGUUUGUUAAGUCAGAUGUGAAAUCCCCGGGCUCAACCUGGGAACUGCAUCUGAUACUGGCAAGCUUGAGUCUCGUAGAGGGGGGUAGAAUUCCAGGUGUAGCGGUGAAAUGCGUAGAGAUCUGGAGGAAUACCGGUGGCGAAGGCGGCCCCCUGGACGAAGACUGACGCUCAGGUGCGAAAGCGUGGGGAGCAAACAGG